rnacentral:lncRNA from 1 species
GCGACUCUAGCUCACUGAGGACAUGGCCAGUGAUAGGAAGGUAUGGAGGUCGAGCAUUAGGGUUGUAGAUUAGUAGUAGUUGAGCAUUUUUCUACUCCGUACAGGAUGUAAGGCUAGUGUGUUAGUGUCUUGUUUUCGUAUGCUAGUGGUACGUGUUGUGUUCAGAUUAUUUUUCCGUUCCGGUUUCCUAGUACCUUGCCAUUGUUACUAAUUAUUGAUAUUGCUUUUUUCAUUUAUUUUUUUUAUUCUUAGAUCGCUGGUACUAUCUUUUUGGCCUCUGUUGUUGGUACUGUUCUAUUGUCUUUUUUCAUCUUCUUGUGCCGAGGGUCUAUCGAAACAACUUCUCUAUCCCACAGGGUAGUGGUAAGGUCUGCAUACACACUACCAUCCUAAAACACCACUUGUGGGAUUAUACAGGGUUAUUGUUGUUGUAUUGGAUGUCCCUGAAGAGACCGAAAUGGAACCUUAAAGUAAAAGAUCUUUUUUCCCAUCUAACAAUUUUCAUGUGUACCGUAUUUGACUAGUUGACUAACUACUCUUUCUUCAGUGCUGCAAAUCAUGUAAAAUUUAUUUUGUUCUGAACCUUGAGCUUUUGCAACCAUAGUUCUCUGGCUGAUUAGGAGUACUGUCCUCUUUUUCUGGUCUUUGCUCUCAGAAAUUUUUGUUUCUCUUUCUUCCUACCUCCCAUCUGUUUUCUUUCCUCUUCCUCUCUGUCUAAUACAUGCACCUUCAUCACAUAGGUCCAGAAAUGAUAUCUGCAAGUAGAACUUUCAGAGCUUAAAACUUGUGAUUUCCUUAAGCUUGGUUAUGUAGUGACUAAACUGGCAACUGGAAAUACUCUGAUGCAAUUUCUUAUUGAUAUUUCAUGCUUGCUUCUCUUAUGUUUUCCUGAUAAAAACUUUAUGUUCUUUUUUUGGUUACUGCAGGCGUUCUAUAAAGUUUUUAGGAGCUGGGCUUCUAAAAAAUUCAUGACCGGAUGGUAAGAAUGGUUCUCUCUUCAAAUAUCCUUUGGUCUAGAUGUAGGCUUAACUUUUUGGGGUCACCUUUACUGUAUUGGAAACCUAAAGUGGUUUUAGGAAGCCACCAUUAAGUAUUGCACUUGUAGGAAGAAGGCGAUGUUUUUCCCACUUUGCUUUUCUGAUGACAAAUACAUUCAUUUCAGAAAUAGUGUGAUCCUGUUCAGUUCUGGCGAGGGUUAUGACCUUGAAGAUAAUGCUGCAUAACUGGUCUUUCCUCCUGAAGACACAUUGAAUUAAAUGUGGCAGAUGUUUAGUAAGAGUGUGGUGCUUAGUUUUCCCUUGCUCAUUUUUCUCUUCUUUUGAGGGUGGGAUGUUUGGGGGUGGAUAUGUGUCUCAGAGACAAAAGUUAGUGCAAAUUUACUUUAUGGGAUCCAAAUGCAUUAUAGAUUACAGAAUGAGUGAACAUGCUGGAUAAGCAUGUCUAGACAAACUACACCCCAUUGCAAACAUCAAAAUAGUUGAUUGAUAGUAGGCUAUAUUUAUGCAAUUUAGACAUUAUUUAUACUCUAAUUUAGCUGCACUUUAUUGAUAUUUGAAUGCUAAAAGAUAACAAAAUGCUUUAAUUAAGAAUUUUAUGCUUUGCAGGAGCCACUCCGAGCUAGGAGAAAACUAAAGAGUGUUUUGGAGUCAAUAUGGAGUGUGGAAGGCCAAUCGAAGGUUAGCCCGAUCGAAAAGAGCGAGAAAAGCAAGCGGGGGGUCCCCUCCAGAUGUGCGGCCACGGAGUUGACCGCGAAUUGGACCGCGCACUGGAGGCAGAACACUGGCUGAAAUUCGCGGCCGCGGACGGGCGGACGGAGGCCAACAACUCAGGAGCAAUUAUGUAAUUUCUAAGGCGACUAACCUAAACCUAUAUGAAGCCUAAUUCGCCCAGAAGAGAAGGGGAGCUAUUUUUAGGAGUUUUUGGAGGCAAGAACAAGAGAGAGAAGACGAAGAAUUUCCUAAGAGUUUUCAUCUUCUUCUUCUUACUUCCAUUGUUGAUUAUGGAUUGUUAUAGUGAAUUUUUAUCCAUUA